rnacentral:rRNA from 1 species
AUUGAACGCUGGCGGCAUGCUUUACACAUGCAAGUCGAACGGUAACAGGCCGCAAGGUGCUGACGAGUGGCGAACGGGUGAGUAAUGCAUCGGAGCGUGCCCAGUCGUGGGGGAUAACUGCUCGAAAGAGCAGCUAAUACCGCAUACGAUCUAUGGAUGAAAGCGGGGGACCGUAAGGCCUCGCGCGAUUGGAGCGGCCGAUGUCAGAUUAGGUAGUUGGUGGGGUAAAGGCUCACCAAGCCAACGAUCUGUAGCUGGUCUGAGAGGACGACCAGCCACACUGGGACUGAGACACGGCCCAGACUCCUACGGGGGGCAGCAGUGGGGAAUUUUGGACAAUGGGGGCAACCCUGAUCCAGCAAUGCCGCGUGCAGGAAGAAGGCCUUCGGGUUGUAAACUGCUUUUGUACGGAACGAAACGGUCUGGGUUAAUACCCUGGGCUAAUGACGGUACCGUAAGAAUAAGCACCGGCUAACUACGUGCCAGCAGCCGCGGUAAUAC